rnacentral:rRNA from 1 species
UACGUAGGGGGCAAGCGUUGUUCGGAAUGACUGGGCGUAAAGGGUGCGUAGGCGGUGUAGCAAGUUAGAAGUGAAAUACCUAGAGCUUAACUCAGGUGCUGCUUCUAAAACUGCUAUACUUGAGUGCAGUAGAGGAAAGUGGAAUUCCUAGUGUAGCGGUGGAAUGCGUAGAUAUUAGGAGGAGCAUCAGUGGCGAAGGCGACUAUCUGGACUGUAACUGACGCUGAGGCACGAAAGUGUGGGGAGCAAACAGG